GCUUACGGGCCAUACCAGCCUGAAUACGCCCGAUCUCGUCCGAUCUCGAAGCUAAGCAGGGUCGGGCCUGGUUAGUACUUGGAUGGGAGACCGCCUGGGAAUACCAGGUGCUGUAAGCU
rnacentral:rRNA from 1 species